rnacentral:snRNA from 1 species
GUGAUCGCUUUGGCAGCACAUAGAUUAAAAUUGGAACAAUACAGAGAAGAUCAGCAUGGCCUCUGCACAAGGCUGACAUGCAAAUUUUUGAAGCAUUCCAUAUUUUU